GACGUAGGGCGCGAGCGUUGUCCGGAUUUAUUGGGCGUAAAGAGCUCGUAGGCGGCUUGUCGCGUCGUCCGUGAAAACCUGCGGCUCAACUGCAGGCUGGCGGUCGAUACGGGCAGGCUGGAGUUCGGUAGGGGAGACUGGAAUUCCUGGUGUAGCGGUGAAAUGCGCAGAUAUCAGGAAAAACACCCGUGGCUAAGGCGGCUCUCUAGUACGGUACUGACGCUGAGACGCGAAAGCGUGGGGAGCGAACAGG
rnacentral:rRNA from 1 species